rnacentral:lncRNA from 1 species
GUUCUGAGGAGUUUCUUCUCAGCACUGCUGUACAUUCAGCACACCCUGCUGAGUGAAGGAGGCUUGUCUUCUGCACAGCACUUCUCUCCAAAAUAUGGUUUUGAACUGCGGGUUUGAUCUCUCUCUUGAAGUUGCAGCAGGGCAUAAUAUGACUUACAAAGAGCUAACAUAUCAGAAAAGAAGGCUUUUGAAGAACACAGCCACAAAGAUAAAACACUGGCACUGCUUUUCUUUGCACAAGGACAAGGCAGCUAUCUUCAUCCUAAGUGAGAGAUUUUGGCAAUCUUCAUCUUUCAUCCUAAAAUCAUCUUCCUGGAUUGAGAGGCAAUAUCUAGGCCCCUUUCCAGCACUUGGGAGUUUAUGGAAAAUAACGCUGUACACCACCCUUGUGAGAGAUGCAUAGCUGGGUUUGCAGGGAGCUGAUUGUGCUCCUUGGCACUGAGCAACCUCCUGGCACUGGAUUGUACUCUGAGUUACCCUGUGAGAAA